ACCUGCGGUCAAACGAGUUUUAUGCAACCAGCCCGUUGUAUAAAGUGUAGUUGAAAUUGAACCGGCGGUUGAGUGAAAAAUUCUGUUGCAUGACCGACGAUUUAGCUCUAACUGACAGUUGAACUGUCAGUUGGCUCAAACGGCACUCGAAGUACGGAUUAGCGAAUUCAACCGUCAGUUUAUGUUUGUUUGUGAAGUUAUAUAAAUCGUUUAAGAUGUCCAAAAAAAGAAUUGCGUUUACGGAUAUAGAUGUACGGACGCUUAUAGAUAUAGUUUUCAAGUAUAAGCAUAAGAUAGAAUGCAAGAAGACUGACGUUAUAACUUGGAGGGAGAAGAAUGCAAUUUGGUCUAAAAUUGCAAAUGAAUUUAAUUGUGCCGUGAUGGAUCAAAAAACUGCAGAGCAGUUACGUACGAAGUACGAUAAUUUAAAGAAAG